AUGAUGAUUAUGUUGACUCAUGCAAGCAAGAUUUCCAAGAGAGCGAUUCCUGUGGUGAGCUUCACUAUCCGUUCAAACAGACUUCUUGGAACUUGUAUCUCUAAGUCUGGAUGGCAACUUUUGUGUGACUAUAUAAGCACAUGUGUAGACACUUCGACCAAUGGUAUUGGCAUUCUAAAUAUUUUCCAGACUGUGAAUGACCAAGCUGAAGUGGCUAUCAUAUCAUCUAGGCACUAA